AGAAGGGAAGCGGCGGAAGGAUCACGAGUCUCACGCUUGAAAAGAAGGGGGGAUGGGAAGGAGGGAGGGAGAGGGAGGGGGUGGCUCGGUGAUGCGACGGGAAACGCUGCGGCUCCGGCGGCGGCGGGAUCCGGCGGGCUGGCGGCGGGGGCCCGGCGAGCUGGAGGGCGGCGGAGUCGCGAGUCAGUCAGAGGCGGGCGGUGGCGGCGGCGGCGGCUCCUCGUCUCAUUGCGCCAGGAGCAGCUGCAGGCGGCGGCUGGAUCCAGCGGCCAUGGCGGCGGCGGCGGCGGAGGCAGCUCCCUUCAGACCCCAGGCAGCGGAUCCUCGACUGCUCCCCAUACGCCGGGGACAUGGGAACCCGGCAACCGCUUCCGUCCCCGGGGGCCCCCUCCCCCGUCCGCGGCACCAGCGCGGCCGCCCUCCCGCCCCUCGCCUCUGCUCGGUGCCCGCUCAGGAAGUGUCCGCGCUUUGCCCCCAGCCCGGAGCCCUGUCAGCGGCUGUGGGGCCGGCUCCUCCUCGCUUCCUUCCUUCCUUCCUUUGUCACUCGGCCCGGGCGACGGCGGCGGCGGCGGCGGCACAAGCCUGCAUUCGCCCGGGUCGGGGGCUGCUCUGUGCGAGGAGCGCCGUCUGCGCAGCCGCCUAGCUCUUCCCCACUCCCCCUCCCCCUCCUACUCGUCCUCCGCCUCCUUCCUCCCCCACCCAGCCUUCCACCGCCCAGCGCCCCGCCACCCGCGUAACAGGCGUCUGGGAAUCGCCGGCCGAGGUCCGCGCCCGCCCGCUUCGGCGACGGAACCGAGGCCGGAGGCACAGCCAAUCACGGACGUCGGUGGCCUGCGGCUCCUCCCGGAAAAAGCCGAUCGGCCUGAGGAGCCAAUUACAAAGUGUCGCCGGAAGUCCACGCCCAAAAGGCGGAAAGUGCCGAAGGCCGCCGAACGAGAAGAAGGUCGGGGCUCGUCCCGCGGCUGGCCAGCGGGGGAAUCCGACAAUGGCAGCGGCGGCCAAUCACAGCCGCCGGCCCUCACCGAAAGGCUGGAGGAGUUAAGGACGGCGAAACCCGGAGUCACUGGUGAAGCGGCGCGGCUGGGCGCCCCGGCCGCCUUCGUAAUUGGCCGAAAACUCCGCUGGGAGUGUACCUGCUUCGGGGAUUGGCGAGGCGACGGGGGCUUCCGACGACAGUCUGGCCAGUCAGGACGUCUCCUCCCUCGCCGAGGCGGGGAGAAGAAGAAAGAAAAGGGAGGACGUCUACAAAGCGCCUUCUCAUUGGCCCGAAGCUUUGGAGCUGGGGUGGGGGCGAAAGGGAAAAGGAGGGAGGCCGAAGCCCGCAGCGGCAGCCAAUCAGCGCUCAGGGCCGUCCAAUCGCAAGACCUAGCUGCGCUGUGA
rnacentral:lncRNA from 1 species